AGCGCCUUCGGCACUCCACCCACUGUGAACAUACCUACGUUCCCCUGGCGGGCUCAGCGCGCGCGGCCUCGGCCGCGGGCGUCCGCCGGGGGCAAAACCAAACCCGUUUUUACAGCGUGUAUCUGAGGGGCGACAGCCCGUAAAACAAAUAAAUCAAAACUUUCAACAACGGAUCUCUUGGCUCUGGCAUCGAUGAAGAACGCAGCGAAAUGCGAUAAGUAAUGUGAAUUGCAGAAUUCAGUGAAUCAUCGAAUCUUUGAACGCACAUUGCGCCCGCCAGUACUCUGGCGGGCAUGCCUGUCCGAGCGUCAUUUCAACCCUCGGGAACCCCCAGCGGGUGCCCGGUGUUGGGGCUCAGCGGCCGCCUGGCGGCCCCUGUCCCCUAAAUUCAGUGGCGGUCGCGCCGCAGCCUCCCCUGCGUAGUAGCACACCUCGCACCGGAGAGCGGCUCGGCCACGCCGUGAAACCCCCCAAUUUUUCAAGGUUGACCUCGGAUCAGGUAGGAAUACCCGCUGAACUUAAGCAUAUCAAUAAGCGGAGGAAAAGAAACCAACAGGGAUUGCCUCAGUAACGGCGAGUGAAGCGGCAACAGCUCAAAUUUGAAAUCUGGCCGCAAGGCCCGAGUUGUAAUUUGCAGAGGAUGCUUUUGGCGAGGUGCCUUCCGAGUUCCCUGGAACGGGACGCCACAGAGGGUGAGAGCCCCGUACGGUCGUGCCACCGAGCCUCUGUAAAGCUCCUUCGACGAGUCGAGUAGUUUGGGAAUGCUGCUCUAAACGGGAGGUGUACGUCUUCCAAAGCUAAAUACCGGCCAGAGACCGAUAGCGCACAAGUAGAGUGAUCGAAAGAUGAAAAGCACUUUGAAAAGAGGGUUAAAAAGUACGUGAAAUUGUUGAAAGGGAAGCAUUUAUGACCAGACUUGGGCUUGGUUGAACAUCCGGCGUUCUCGCCGGUGCACUCUGCCAGCCCAGGCCAGCAUCAGUUUGCCCCGGGGGAUAAAGGCGGCGGGAAUGUGGCUCCCCACGGGGAGUGUUAUAGCCCGUCGUGCAAUGCCCUGGGGCGGA
rnacentral:rRNA from 1 species